rnacentral:tRNA from 1 species
CAAAAUGUAUCUUAUAUUAAAGUAGGUUAUUUACAUUAAUCAGAAAUCUUCGGUUCGUUUUGA